rnacentral:lncRNA from 1 species
CUAUUCUCAUAAAGUUAUUUUAAAUAUAAUACAUUUAACUAAUCAUAAAAUAUUAUAUACUCAUUGCAAACAAUUUUGGAGGAAAAAAGUGAGCAUAGAAAAAAAGUCCAUCAAAAUCACACAUAUUAUUAUCACCCAUAGAUAACCUCUCUAACCAUUUGGCUAUAUUUAUUCCCAAUUUUCUUCAAAUGAUAUACAUAUAUAUGUAGUUUUUCUAUAAAUUCAAAAUUAUUAAAUUAUACACAUAUUUUUUCCAUAAGUUAUUGGAGUACAGGUGGUAUUUGGUGGCAUGAGUAAGUUAUUUGGUGGUGAUUUGUGGAUUUUGGUGCAUCCAUCACCCGAGAAGUACACACUGCACCAUAUUUGUGGUCUUUUAUCCCUCGCCCCCUCACUCUUCCUCACAAGUCCCCAAAGUCCAUUGUAUCAUUCUUAUGCCUUUGCAUCCUCAUAGCUUAGCUCCCACAUAUCAGUGAGAACAGACGAUUGUUUGGUUUUCCAUUCCUGAGUUACUUCACUUAGAAUAAUAGUCUCCAGUCUCAUCCAGGACACUGCAAAUGCUGUUAAUUCAUUCCUUUUUAUGGCUGAGUAGUAUGCCAUUUUAUAUAUAUACACAUAUAUAUGUAUAU